rnacentral:rRNA from 1 species
UACGUAGGGACCAAGCGUUGUUCGGAAUUACUGGGCGUAAAGCGCGUGUAGGCGGUUGUUCAAGUCAGGUGUGAAAGCCUUGAGCUCAACUCAAGAAAUGCACUUGAUACUGGAUGACUAGAGGACCGGAGAGGAUAGUGGAAUUCCCAGUGUAGUGGUGAAAUACGUAGAGAUUGGGAAGAACACCAGUGGCGAAGGCGGCUAUCUGGACGGUUUCUGACGCUAAGACGCGAAAGCGUGGGGAGCAAACAGG